UACGUAGGGGGCAAGCGUUAUCCGGAAUCAUUGGGCGUAAAGCGCGUGUAGGCGGUUCCGUAAGUCCGCUCUGAAAGCCCAGGGCUCAACCCUGGGAGGCGGGUGGAUACUACGGAACUGGAGUACGGAAGAGGAGAUUGGAAUUCCUGGUGUAGCGGUGAAAUGCGCAGAUAUCAGGAGGAACACCAACAGCGAAGGCAGAUCACUGGGCCGCAACUGACGCUGAGGAGCGAAAGCAUGGGGAGCGAACAGG
rnacentral:rRNA from 1 species